GAUGAACGCUGGCGGCGUGCCUAAUACAUGCAAGUCGAGCGAACGGACGAGAAGCUUGCUUCUCUGAUGUUAGCGGCGGACGGGUGAGUAACACGUGGAUAACUCACUUAUAAGACUGGGAUAACUUCGGGAAACCGGAGCUAAUACGGGGGAAUAUUUUGAACCGCAUGGUUCAAAAGUGAAAGACGGUCUUGCUGUAACUUAUAGAUGGAUCCGCGCUGCAUUAGCUAGGUGGUACGGUAACGGCUUACCAAGGCAACGAUGCAUAGCCGACCUGAGAGGGUGAUCGGCUACACUGGAACUGCAGCGCGCUCCGGACGCCUAGGGGAGGCAGCAGUAGGGGAUCUUCCGCGAUGGGCGAAAGCCUGACGGAGCAACGCCGCGUGAGUGAUGAGGUUCUUCGGAUCGUAAAACUCUGUUAUUAGGGAAGAACAUAUGUGUAAGUAACUGUGCACAUCUUGACGGUACCUAAUCAGAAAGCCACGGCUAACUACGUG
rnacentral:rRNA from 1 species